AUUGAACGCUGGCGGCAGGCCUAACACAUGCAAGUCGAACGAGUGGCGGACGGGUGAGUAAUGUCUGGGAAACUGCCUGAUGGAGGGGGAUAACGACGGGAAACGGUAGCUAAUACCGCAUACCAUCAGAUGUGCCCAGAUGGGAGUAGCUUGUGGGUGGGGUAACGGCUCACCAACGCGACGAUCCCUAGCUGGUCUGAGAGGACGACCGACCACACUGGAAAUGAUACACGGUCCAGACUCCUACGGGAGGCAGCAGGGGGGAAUAUUGCACAAGGGGCGCAAGCCUGAUGCAGCCAUGCCGCGUGUAUGAAGAAGGCCUUCGGGUUGUAAAGUACUUUCAGCGGGGAGGCGUUACCCGCAGAAGAAGCACCGGCUAACUCCGUGCCAGCAGCCGCGGUAAUAC
rnacentral:rRNA from 1 species